UUUAGCAGGGCUCAGCAAGAGUUAACAGAGAGAGUAAGGUGAGCUGAGGCAGCAGUACAAAGCAACGUGGUUGUUCAACAGGCACGGCAAAGAAAUCUGAUCUAGCAGCAAAACUGCCUGUCUGGAGUCAGCAGCAGAGUCACGUAGUGUUCUGGUAGUCGGCAGCAGUCAAAGGACAGCUGAAACAGCAAUUCACAUCUUAAGGAGUAGAACGAAGAAAAUAAUUAGGCUCAAUAACUCAAAAUCUUAUUGACCUAAAGAAAACAGUUCUUCAAGAUAGCUGUGAUGUUAAAUGCUGAAAUACAGACUCUCCUGAAAAAGAAGUUUAAACAGUUGGCAGGUGACUGUGUUUCUUUUGUUCAUUAAGAUGUGAACCAUCACCAGAGAAAAACUUCUGGAGUUUCAUGUCCUGAAGCAGGCAAGCCCCAGCACUUGGGAGCAGCACAUACAUCCUGGACUUGCCUGAAGCGCUGCCAGACCCCUUUGUCCUCACAGAUUUCAGAAUGCCACCAGCAUGCUUCAGCACAUCCCUACCAACUGCGGUUGCAUGGGAGAUUAAAUGCCUAUGACUCAUCCAGAGUGUUUUGAUCAUGUGCAGUUACCUGCAGCUUCAUAUGCUGAGAAUGACAUCAUAUGGUAUGGAAUAUCCCUUUGGUCACCUGGGGUCAGCUGUGCAAGCUGUGUCUCCUCUCAAUGUCUUGUGCACCCCCAGCCUGCUCACUGGUGGGGUGGUGUGAGGAGCAGAAAAGUACUUGACUGUAAGCGCUGCUCAUCAGUAAGGAAAACAUCCCUGUACUAUCAACACUGUUUUCAGCACAAAUCGAAAACAUAGCCCCAUACCAGAUCCUAUGAAGAGAAUUAACCCUAUCUCAGCCAAAACCAGCACAUUCUCUUACCAAAAAUCCCCCUACAACUUGUCUACUAAUCUGAAAGAGUAGAAAAUCCAAGAAAACUCUGAUUUACAUGCACAUAUUUUGUGGACAAAACCAGAAGAUUGUGGGAAUUAAGAGCUAGUGGCUAUCAAAAUGUAAACUGACCUUGAGGUUAGAAGAACAAUUGUGGGAAACUGAGGCAACAUUUGGAACACCGUGUUGUGAACGUCAGAAACAGCAGGCCAGAACACCUCCUGCAGAAUGCACGGUGAACGUGUGAGCAGUAAACAGAUAAAACCUGAAGGUCACUAGGAUGUAGAAGUAAUAACAAACCUAUGUAAAGAAGUGAGAACAAAUUGGGAGCUGGCACACAGUGCAGUGGCAUUUGUUCUUGGCAUUGCCAAGAACAACAAACUGGUGUGAGUUUGUCUUUCUUUUGUGCAUCAUUCUGAUCCUGGCUGGACCGAGACUGACAAAUGGUGCCCUGUGUGAGCUGCUACGAAAACCUGAAGAAGAUGGUGGUGUGCUCGUAUGCGAAGGAGGAAAGUGGCAUCCAGACAUAAAUAUUUGUUCCGCUGCAGCAGAACAUCAUUUUAGCACC